UUAAGGUGAUGGCUUCAGCCGUUUUGGUGAGUUAAUCGGUUUUCCUGGUCUCUCCCAUGGAGACAUGUUAUUAAACUUCUGUUUGAUUUUCUCCUGUUAAUCUGUCUCAUGUCAAUUUAAUUCUUGGACCAGCCAGAAGAAUCUAGAAGAGUAGAGGAAAAUUCCUUCCUCCCCAACACUGAGUAAUAAAUACUUCCCUUUCUCUUUAUGACUAUAGUUGAGGAGAAUAUGACACCUGUGUUUCCCAAACUUGAGAAUGUACAGAGCACUUCUCAAAGGAAAAAAGAAAAAGCCUCUUGGACCAUUUUAUUUAAUAAUUGUUUUAGGAAGAGAUUAGGAGAUAGACAUGCAAAGAGGAAAGACCAUGUGAGGACAGAGGGAGAAGGCGGCCAUCUGCAAGACAAUGAGAGAGGCCUCAGAAGAAACCACCCCUGCACACACCUUGAUCUGGGACUUCCAGCCUCCAGAACUGUGAGAAAGGUGUUGCCCUUAUAUGAAUGAUCCCAAAUGGCUCCCUACCUCCAUGAUCCAGAAACCUGUCACAUGGAUAAAUGAUACUUUAUUUAACAAGAUUCAUCCAGAAAGGCCAGAGAAGCUAAGCCACUUGCACUCCCACCAGCACGGAUGAGCCACAUGACCAGCCCUGAAAAAGGAUGUUCUUAGAGGAGUAUUUCCAUAGAAACUUGGGGUGAGGGUGGGGGAGGGAAUGUAGAGUCAUAAAAUUGAAGAAUCUAAAUUGUUUUCCUUGUUUUCCUCCAUGCACAAACAGCGGCAGCAGAGGGAGAGAAGGAAAAGAGUUGUGAAAAAUGGCAAAGGCCAUCUGAAUGUAUUGUUCUUAUGAGAACCUAUCUGUGAGGUAUGAAACCUAUUCGGAGCGAGUAGCCAAUUCAUCCCUCAUCGGCAUAUCAGGAAGGAUUUAAAGUGCAGAGAUGCCAUGAACCAGCUUAAAAAAUGAAAAGAACCAAAGCACAGAGGGCUGCGUAUCCAGACUCACUCACCCAGUAAAUGGAUAUCUUCACUGGUAAUAGAUUUUGUUCAAGAUGCCACCCCACCGCCUUUUCUGAGAACUGCUCUCCCACCUGGCCCAUGAGCGUUGGCACCUAGCAACUAUGGCUGUACCCCUGCUGUGCUGAUUAGACUGGCUGGCUCAAGCUAGGUUGGCUAGAGAUUUUCCUGAAGAUAGUAAGUUGGUCUUUCACAUAAGCUGGUAUCUCUUUGGUUUCGAGGAAUAGAAAACUUGACUUACACCAUCUGAGGCAUAAAGGUAUUUUGUUGACUCAUAUACCCAAACUGUUCGAGGAGAGACUUGGACUCUUGGAGUGAUUUGAUGGAGGACUCAAAAAUGAUGUCAUCCAAGUCUUGGCUUCCUUUCCUUCGAGUUGGCUCAACCCUCUAGCUGGCUUCCCUCACGGUCGCAGGUUACAGCAGCCCCAAACUCACAUUCUCACUCAGACACGGAGAAGAGUGACACUGUGUCCUAGCUUUCUAGACAAAUCUUCCCUGGAUUCACUCUAACUGCAGCUACUUAGGCCUGUGUCUUUCCCUGAACCAAUCACUAGCCAUGGAAAUGGAAGCCACUGGUUGACUGAAGCCAAUUUGGGUUUCCCUCUAGAGUGGAGAGCAAAGGCUGGCACAAGGGAGGGAGCGGAAAACGGAGAAAGUCAACUUCUCAGCACCCACAGAGCAAAGUGCUGACCCAGCCAGCGAGGGGCACUGGGACCAGAGCUGACUCCGGAGCAGCUGGCGAUGCGCAGGGCCCAUUCAUCAUGCAGCUUCCUGAGCGGCAGCUAGAGUUAGCAUCCUCAAAUAUGAAAAUAAUUGGUGCUCAGUAAUAAAGGCUGUGAGUACAUGUGGGCAAGAGAACGAGAUUUCGCUGGAAUGACAGAUGGAGUCAUGGUUCCAGGAAGCAGCAGCUCCAUUCAGAAUUGCCAAAAUUUGGAAGCAAAGAAGAUGUCCCUCAGUGGGUGAAUGGAUAAUUAACCUGUGGUAUAUCCAAACAUGGAAAUUUACUCAGCACUAAAAAGAAAUGAGCUAUCAACUCAUGAAGAGACAUGGAGAAACCUAAAAUGUGUAUUACUAAGUAAAAGAAGCCAAUCCAGAAAGACCACAUACUAUAUGAUUCCAACUGUAUGAUAUUCUGGAAAAGCUGUUCUUAGAAACUUGUGGAGACAUAGCAGAAGUUUACACAGUCUUAGAUUAAUUCCAUAACCUGUGUAAAAAAUUAACUGCCUCAGAGAUAGACCUAACAUUCUAAAAGGAAAUGCAUGGAGUCUGCACAAACAACCACAGAAAAAUAAACGUUACAUUCAAAAAAUCAAGAAAAGCAUUUGAAGAAUAAAAUUACAAAUUUAAUAAACUGCACAGUGGCUUCUUGAAGGACAAGCAUGUGUCUUCCAAAGAGGUCUGCAUUCCCAGAGGCUUUGACACACAUUACGAAUUGCCAAGGCAGGGAUCAGACAUGCCAUGAGCAUUUGCAAACAUGUUUGAUACAGGGCCCUUCUUGACUAAAGAAUCUCAUGACAACACCCUUGGGAGAAUGCUGGUCAAAAACACCAUCAUUUACUACCUCAGAUGAAGAUCUUGACCCCCAUGACACAGGAGGAAGCUGAUAUCAUAUGCUUCUCUACUCAAGACCCAAAAAGUAUAAAAAUUGAAUUCCACACUGUUUCUUUCAAAGAGGCUCUGGUCAGGGGCAUGAGAAAUACUGGAAUAAGAGUUAAUAGUCUGAAUGGAUAAAGAAGAUGUGGUAUAGAUACAUACAAUGGAAUACUACUCAGCCAUAGAAAAAGAAUGAAUUAAUGCUUUUUGCAGCAACAUGGAUGGACCUAGAGAUUAUCACACUAAGUGAAAGGUUUGAACUCACUGGGAAGGAGAGGGCGGAGGAAAAGAAAAAUUGGAUGUGAAGGCCAAUAUUUUCAGGAGGACAAGGUUAAAGCCUACAUCCCUUAAAAUCGGAAGUACUGAGCCUCCUGGAAAUUGCGACUGCUUAACUUCUCUGUUCUACAGAUGGCCGUCAUCCCCAUGCUGAUAGGACACAGGAAGCAAGGCAACACAAAGUUGCCUUAAUGAUAGGUCUUUGUGGUGACUGGAUCCAGGAAGAGAAGGAAAUGAGACGUAGUUUACAGCAACAUCACAGUGUUGGGCCAGACCCUGCCUGGGCAUCUGUGCCUGUGUCGGGAAGCAUGGGGCCUCAGCCAUGACCCAGCAGGUCAGUCCGGUGCAGAGUUGUUCUUUGUUCUGCUCUUCUCUAAUCUCACUAAACUCUGCCACAAGUAUGAAAUGAAAAGUUUGAAAUGAAACAAGUAUUAUGUGGACACAUGUUAGAAGCCUCCUGAGAUAUAUUCCUUGGUUUUAGAAGCUCUAGGAUUCUCUGACCCUUGGGAAUUUUCUGCAGCAGCAGUGUCUACAUUGGGCAGCACAAAAUAUGACCACACAGUGUAGGAAAAGCGUCCUAAUAGAGGGAAAAUAAAUGAAGAAAAAGCCCAUGUGUCCUCUGCUAUAGUCACUCAUCACAAACAGAAAGGUCCUUCUGUGAGCCUGGCACCAAGCUGAACCAAAAUGGCACAGACAUGGCCGUGUCUUUCUUUGAAGGGUUAACAAGGGGGGAUACUCUUAUUUAGAUAGGGAACAGCACUUUCUUGGGAAGUCCCUUGGCCAAUAAUACACUUGAUUUGACCUGUGUAGAAGUCAUCUCAUCGCAGCCUGUUUCUAAGGCAUGCCAAAAGUAAGCUGAAAAGUGAACAUGUCAGCUAGUCAAGCAGACUUUUCUAACUCUCUGGAUCCUUAGCAACAUGCACGGCAAACUUCUGUUUAGCCAGUUAGCACAUCUGUCUUGGAGGAAAUAAUGGUGUCUUGCCACCAUAGAUGUUUGAGUCCCUGUGAGUAAAUGGGUAGGAACAACCCAUCCAAACUCAUCUCACAUGAGCUGUCUGGAAGGUCAGGCCGGUCUUGCCCUUGAAUUGCAAAGCUAUCUUUGGUCAAAGACUGGCUUUUCGUUCCUAACUCUCGUGUGUUCAGUGGCUCAAGAAAUAUAUGCCGAUGCAAAAGUGAGCAGUGCCAGGCAAUUCAGAUCUCCUUUUCCUGGUCAAGGAGCAGCAACGACAUUGACUUUCUUCUCUAUAGAGCCUUACUCCUCACCAGCUAUGAAUAAUUUUUCCCCCCUACCCACGACAGUCUCUUCCCCUUGCUCCCUCUCAGACUAGCCUCUCAAAGGACAGAAUCCAUAUCCUGUUGCCUUGUUCUCCCAUGACUGCCUGGGUACUGUGCACAUAGGAGGUGAUUUAUAGAUAUUGACUGAGUGAAUGAUGUUCUUUUAAGAAACCACAUAGACUUUUCCAUGCUAAGUCAGACCAGCCUGCUCCAGGUCCUUUGCUCUUCUUCUUUAGAUCACUUUAGUUUCCUCUUUUUAUCUGUCACCGCCUUUUCUGCCCCUUGAAGUUCUUCUUCAUGCAAGUUAGACUAAGGAGACACAGUGUUCCAGCUCCUCUCUUUCUUUUUGCUCUUGCUAUAGACUGAAUGUUUGUGUCCCCUCAGAAUUCAUAUGCUGAAAACUAAUCCCUAAUGUCAUGUUAUUUGGAGGUUGGGACUUUGGGAGGUGAUUAGGUCAUGAGAGCAGAGCCCUCAUGAAUGAGAUUAAUACCCUUAUAAAAAGAGACCCCAGAUGUAUAUAUGUGUAUAUAUAUAUUUAUUUAUAUACACAAUGAACUAUUACUCAGCCAUAAAAAAGAAUGAAAUAAUGCCAUUUGCAGCAACAUGGAUGGACCUAGAGAUUAUCUUACUAAGUGAAGGAAGUCAGAGAAAGACAAAUAUCAUAAGAUAUCACUUGUAUGUGUAAUUUUUAAAAAAAGAUACAAAUGAACUUAUUUACAAAACAGAAACAGACUUGCAGACAAAGAAAACAAAUUUAUGGUUACCAAAGGGAAAAGGGGUCAAGGAGGGAUAACUAGAUAUCUAUAUUCUAUUUAUGUAUCUGUCAUCUAUCUAUCUAUCUAUCUAUCAUCUAUCUGUCAUCUAUCUAUCUAUAACUGAAUCACUUUUCUGUAUACCUGAAACAUUGUAAAUCAACUAUACUUUAUUAAAAAAAUAAAUGAAGAUGCACACAUUAAAAAAAAAAAAGAGAGACCCCAGAGAGCUCCCUUGUCCUCUCCACCGUGUGAGGACACAGAAAAAAGGUGAUCGUCUAUGAACCAAGAAGCUGCCCUCACCAGACACCCAUUCUGCUGGUGCCUUGACAUUGAACUCCCCAGACUCCAGAAGAAAUAUAUUUCUGUUGUUUAUAAGCCACGUGGUCUAUGGUAUUCUGUUAUAGCAGGUGUAAUGAAUAAGACAGCUCCUGAAAAUAAGCCCUCUCUCCUCAUGAGGUUUUCCCUCCUGAUUAUUGUAGGAAAUCACAUACAAAAAUAAUAAACAAAAUCAUGCAAUGUUCUGAUAGUCCUGUUCUGUAGCUCUAAUGCCUCUGAAGUUGCCAAUGAAAGAACUUGCUGUGUUUAUUGCUGUAACCUGAAUAUAACUAACAUACCACAUGGCCCUGUCUAUGCACAGUAUAGAGUCAAAGAAAGAGCAGUAUGUCAGGGGAAAAUAAUAGAAAGAUGUUUAAAUGUUACUACUCUCAAAGAGAAGGGGUUGGCAAACUGUGGCUCCCAGGCCAAAUCUGGGGUUUUUUAAAAUAGUUUUUUGCUUGUUUGUUUAAAUAAAGUUUU